CCAAACUUGGUCAUUUAGAGGAAGUAAAAGUCGUAACAAGGUUUCCGUAGGUGAACCUGCGGAAGGAUCAUUAAAGAAAAUAUUCCAGAGCGGGAUGGGCCCCGCCUUUGGGCAGGGCGCUCCUGUAUCUCGAGCCCUGUGCAAGACCGCUUUACAGUUUGCUUUGGCGCGCCGGCUCUUCUGGGCCGGACGCCAGGCGCUAUUUUAAAAUUCACUACCCUUUUUUAACCAGUGGUGUCGGAGCUAUUUCUAUAAUGGAAUUUAAAACUUUCAACAACGGAUCUCUUGGUUCUCGCAUCGAUGAAGAACGCAGC
rnacentral:misc_RNA from 1 species